rnacentral:rRNA from 1 species
GACGAACGCUGGCGGCGUGCUUAACACAUGCAAGUCGAACGGAAAGGCCCUGCUUUUGUGGGGUGCUCGAGUGGCGAACGGGUGAGUAGCACGUGAGUAACCUGCCCUUGACUUUGGGAUAACUUCAGGAAACUGGGGCUAAUACCGGAUAGGAGCUCCUGCUGCAUGGUGGGGGUUGGAAAGUUUCGGCGGUUGGGGAUGGACUCGCGGCUUAUCAGCUUGUUGGUGGGGUAGUGGCUUACCAAGGCUUUGACGGGUAGCCGGCCUGAGAGGGUGACCGGCCACAUUGGGACUGAGAUACGGACCAGACUCCUACGGGAGGCAGCAGUGGGGAAUAUUGCACAAUGGGCGGAAGCCUGAUGAAGCAACGCCGCGUGCGGGAUGACGGCCUUCGGGUUGUAAACCGCAUUAGCCUGUGACGAAGCGUGAGCGACGGUAAUGGGUAAAGAAGCACCGGCUAACUACGUG